GAUGAAGAACGUAGUGAAAUGCGAUAAGUAGUGUGAAUUGCAGAAUUCAGUGAAUCAUCGAAUCUUUGAACGCACAUUGCGCCCCUUGGUAUUCCAUGGGGCAUGCCUGUUCGAGCGUCAUUUGUACCUUCAAGCUUUGCUUGGUGUUGGGUGUUUGUCCAUUCUCUUGCAGAGGGACUCGCCUUAAAGUAAUUGGCAGCCAGUGUUUUGGUUUUGAAGCGCAGCACAAGUCGCGAUUCAACGCUAUACGCCAGCUUCCACAAGCCUUUUUCACUUUUGACCUCGGAUCAGGUAGGGAUACCCGCUGAACUUAAGCAUAUCAAUAAGCGGAGGA
rnacentral:misc_RNA from 1 species